UACGUAGGGGGCGAGCGUUGUCCGGAUUUAUUGGGCGUAAAGAGCAUGUAGGCGGCCAGGUAGGUCUGCUGUGAAAACUCGAGGCUCAACCUCGAGACGUCGGCGGAAACCAUCUGGCUAGAGUCCGGAAGAGGAGAGUGGAAUUCCUGGUGUAGCGGUGAAAUGCGCAGAUAUCAGGAAGAACACCCGUGGCGAAGGCGGCUCUCUGGGACGGUACUGACGCUGAGACGCGAAAGCUAGGGGAGCAAACAGG
rnacentral:rRNA from 1 species